rnacentral:rRNA from 1 species
CCUACGGGAGGCAGCAGUGAGGAAUAUUGGUCAAUGGACGCAAGUCUGAACCAGCCAUGCAGCGUGCAGGAAGACGGCCCUAUGAGUUGUAAACUGCUUUUGUACGAGGGUAAACGCAGAUACGCGUAUCUGUCUGAAAGUAUCGUACGAAUAAGGAUCGGCUAACUCCGUGCCAGCAGCCGCGGUAAUACGGAGGAUUCAAGCGUUAUCCGGAUUUAUUGAGUUUAAAGGGUGCGUAGGCGGUCGCAUAAGUUAGUGGUGAAAUCCCGAGGCUCAACUUCGGAAGUGCAUCUGAGACUGUUCGGCUUGAGAGUAGUUGAGGUAGGCGGAAUGCAUGGUGUAGCGGUGAAAUGCUUAGAGAUCAUGCAGAACACCGAUUGCGAAGGCAGCUUACCAAGCUACUACUGACGUUGAGGCUCGAAAGCGUGGGUAGCAAACAGGAUUAGAUACCCUUGUAGUC